CUUCACCCCGGGAAUGCAUGUGGAGUUGACUCCCCUUUUUAAUGCUAGCUAGGGCGAGACGAUGAUGACAGAGUGCUGCUGAAGACACACACAGUCCGCAUUUCUCUUGCUCCUGUUGGGAACCGGGGCAGGCAUGAGCCCCAGCAUUGCUCUACCAGCAGCAGUUAACUACUAGCGGGGGCGGCGGCAAGCAGCAGCGGCUCACAUCGUCGCCCCAGCCAACGGCUUGAAGUAGGAGAAGCAACGGCCCAUCCCGGUUCCAAUAUGCGAUGCGACUCACUAUUCGACGGCACGUGUGCAAUACCGACACACUUCUAAGGCAGGCUAUUCUCUUCGGUCCUUCAGCAGAAGUGUUUGGUAACAGCGCAGUAUUUUGCUAUUUCCCGCUCUGUGAAGAAAAGCUUCAUGCGGAGCUUCUGCUUCUCGCUGAACUUAGUACCCGACUGGCGCAGGGUGCUUCUUCUUCGCCCCACCACCCACCCGGUUUGCCCCCACCCCACCCCUCUCCUCUCCUCUCCCUGCCCAGCGCACACCAACCAUGUAGAGCAUGUCAGAAGCGGGAGGGUUGACUUCCGAGCGGUGCUUGUUGUGGGCGUCGAGACACUGUUUGAUAAAGGUCCUGUUGUUGAUUUUGGGAUAAGGCAGCGGCACAAACGGCUUCUUUUUACCGCGCGUGUUCGUCAAGGAAGCCAGCGCCAGCCACAGCAACAGCCACAGCCUCAUGGUGAUGCCGCCGCCCUGACACCGACACCCGGGACCUGGCGCCGCCUGGCCGUUGCUGCCCUCCAACGGUCGAGCCCAGAAUGCACCCUGCAGCCCCUCCCACCCCCGGUCAGUUUGUUCCAGACUCAGCGGUGGGAGUGGGAGGGGGCCCCCGGGACGCGAUACUCCUCCAAUGAGGACAAAGAGCAAAGGUGACGUCAGAAGCUCCAACUUCUCCGCUUGGAGCUUUCCCGGCCGACUUUGAUCUACUCGAAGCGCUUGGGUUUUCAAGCGUACGGUGUUGUGGAGUCUUGUUGCUUAUUUGGGACAUAUGGCAUCCUGGGACACGCUGCACUAUCCAAACAGUUGCUGAAAGGACCGUCUUCUCUGGUGGUCUUUGUUUUUUCAAGAGGUUUCUUUUGGUCUAAGGGCACAGCUAGUCCUUGGGUGUUUUUUUUAAAACCAAAACAGCGUAUAUUCGUUGUGCUGGAAUGUUAACCCAAUCCUAAGGGCACUUACUCGGACUGUCAGGCUGCUGAUUUGGCGGGGGGUGAAGGCGUUACCUCUAAGUAACUGUACAUAGGAUUGCAGCGUUUUUGUGCUUCAUGUUUAUAGUUUCUCUACUGGGUUUUGUUUGGUUUUACUACAGCACAAAGAAGUGGCUUAUGCAGUGGGAUAAACGUUUUAGAAAUCUUAAAUUCCUGGGGCCUGUUGUGGCUGCUUCUAAGGGGAUGUGUGUGUCCUUUGCGUAGAGAUUUGCAACACAUUCCUCUACUUCAUGUUUACUCAGAAGUAAUUAAAUCCUACAGAGUUUGGGGGUUACUCUUCCUCCAGUAAGUGUCGUAGGUUACUGUUGUAACCGUAAAUCGGCCAGGUGCCUUGUCCCAAGCAGCAGGCAGCUAAAUACCGUGGGGGCGGGGGAGGAGAGGGAGCUGGUAAAAUAACGCUAUGGUUGGAGGAAAAGCAAAAAGUAAUGAGCCGCCUUCUAUUUGCAUCCACUGCGAGCGAACAAUAUAGAAUCCUCCGCCGGCCUACGACAUAAUGGCCCAACAUGGCAAGGAACUUCAGAGGAUUUCAGUUGAAUAGCAUCAUCUAAAAUGUACAACCAUCAAUGUAUAAAUACAGUAAGUAAUUUGACAGAGCAAACAAAUAACAUGCUCAUCUGAAGAGGAAUCAUAGCCAUACAUUCAAUUCAGCAUUUGAAGGACCUUUUGAAGUCCAUAAGAAUCUUAAAUAAUAAGCUCCAUAAAGAGCUUUCACAAAUAACCACAAAAGAAGAGAAAAUAUUAAUUUCAGAUUGUUUUCACUCUUCAUGGCCCUGGAAAAAGCACCUACAGUGGACUGAAGUUCCUCCCAAUGCUACUAAUGUGGAGGCUGAGAAAUAAUUGAGGAUCUAAUGCUCCAACUGCCCUUGGAUAAUGGUCAUGCUAGUCACAUGAGGGCAAUGUCACAACAUCUUGAGCAAGUAAAUACAUUUCCUGAAAGAUCAACUACUGCAAGCACAGUCCCAAUAGUGUGAAUGCAAGGACCAUGAUAAAGAUUUAAGGACAAGAUUUAGCAAAAUGUAAAUGUAGCAACUCCUUGAAAUGAGAAACAGCCUUUGAUUGAGUUCCACUUAUAUAGGCAUACUAGCUGGGCUGAGCGCAGAGCAUCUGCACCUCUAGUUUUCCCUGCCUGCCUGCUGCCGCCAACCACGGCCACUUUCUUCCCUUGCCCUCUGCUGUCAUUUUCUUGCUCUGCCCACUGUCAUUUUCUUGCUCCACCCGCCACCACAGUUUUGACCCCCUCCCGCCCUGUUUUGUUUCCUGCCUCACCUCCAGCUCUGCUGCUUUCCUCUUUGCCUGCUGGCAGCUUGCUCAUGAACAAUCAUGAGAGCUGCCACACAUGGGAUUAGCAACGGGUACGAGAGAGAGAGCGAGAGAGAUCCAUCAUGGAAGAAUAUGAUCAGAACAGGCAGCAUUCAAUGUAACCAGGCUCUUUAGAAAAUAAUUCUGUAAUCUAACCCCCUGUCCCCUGAUUAUGAAGCCUUCUUCACUUCCAAGAGUGAAGACAUCCCAUUAUUGCAUAUGCUGAAACAAUAUGCAGAGAUUGUUAUGCACAUUCAAAGAUCUCUAAAGGAUAUCCUGGCCUGCUUUCAAGACUUAUAUGCUUUUCAUAUGUUGCCACAGUAUGCUCCUUUCCUUAAAACCUAAUCACUGGGAUGGCACAAGUGAAUACUGAAGACUGGAAGUCUUCAGAAGUGAAAGCUAUAUCCAAGACAAUGUCAACAACUACCCUCAGAUGCAGGAAUAUCAAAUCAGGACCAAAAAGUGUUUUUCUUCAGAUUGCUGAGAAACUCCAUGGUUUUGAAAGGCAGUGACUGUCAGCUUCACAUCCUGGAGAUGACUGUGUUGUGACAGAGAAUGUACCAACAAGUUGUCAAAACAUGAGUGGAUGUGUGUGCCUUUCAACCAAAGAAAAGCAACUGGCACCACCAGGACCUUGAGGCAGACAACAGCCGGAAUGGAGGACACUGAGUGGGAGUUACUGUUACUAUGCUGUGCCACUUAAGGUGAGCUUUUAAAGAUAAACUGCAUGAAUUUGUGUUUACAGGGCCACAGGAAUAUGUACAGACUUCUGUAAGGUUAGAGAAGUCAGAUGAUUUCCCUGCUUGAUGCAGGUCCUGAUAGAACACACUUUUUCUCUUGGGGAACAGUUUCAAUGUCAUGGAUUUUCAGGAUGUGAGAGAUGGCUUUAGUGACUCUGAUGCUUGGAUGGAUUGCUUGAGAUGGGAACUGGAAAUACUUAUUCUUGGAGAUCUGGUUGAAUUCUAUAGUCCUUGCUAAUGGUUUCUAAGAUCCACUGGUCACUUGUGGUGGAAUGGUUAAAUGGAAAAGGUGGCCUCCCACUGUGGACUGUGGGUAGGAAAUGGUGCAGAUAAAAGUUUCUUUACAGACCUGUCGGAAGAAUGAUUGGACAUACUUUGACUUCUAUUUUAGUCAAUGGGAUUUGGGGUCCUUGUAGAAGUACCUUUCAAUAAGGAAGGUUUGGCACGGUGAAAGGACUGAAUCUAUUGAGUCAGCUUCCUCUCCUCCUUUUUGGCUGAAAUUGGCAAGGCUUUAUUUCAACCAUCCAAAGGAUGGCAAAGAAGCUGUUUUCUCAUAAAGAGGCACUAGUCAAGUUGGCCUUUUAGAUUUGGCAUCAACUCCCCAAUUAUGUAGCCAAAAAUUCCUCCUGGAUACCACAUUUCAUACCAAGCAUCUGGCUUUCAAACUGGAAGGAGAAGGACAGUGAACUUUAUUGAACUUGUCUCUGGUAUUCUUAUUCAGGGCAUCGUCCUCCAG